GACGAACGCUGGCGGCGUGCUUAACACAUGCAAGUCGAGCGGUAAGGCCCUUUCGGGGGUACACGAGCGGCGAACGGGCGAGUAACACGUGGGUGACCUGCCUUUAGCUCUGGGAUAAGCCUGGGAAACUGGGUCUAAUACCGGAUAUGACCCUAUGGCGCAUGUUGUGGGGUGGAAAGCCUUGUGCGGCUAGGGAUGGGCCCGCGGCCUAUCAGCUUGUUGGUGGGGUGAUGGCCUACCAAGGCGACGACGGGUAGCCGGCCUGAGAGGGCGACCGGCCACACUGGGACUGAGACACGGCCCAGACUCCUACGGGAGGCAGCAGUGGGGAAUCUUGCGCAAUGGGCGAAAGCCUGACGCAGCGACGCCGCGUGAGGGAUGACGGCCUUCGGUU
rnacentral:rRNA from 1 species